UGAGGAAUAUUGCGCAAUGGAGGAAACUCUGACGCAGCCAUGCCGCGUGCAGGAAGACGGCCCUACGGGUUGUAAACUGCUUUUAUCCGGGAAGAAACCCCAGGACGUGUCCUGGGUUGACGGUACCGGAGGAAUAAGCACCGGCUAACUCCGUGCCAGCAGCCGCGGUAAUACGGAGGGUGCAAGCGUUAUCCGGAUUCAUUGGGUUUAAAGGGUGCGUAGGCGGGGUGGUAAGUCAGUGGUGAAAUCCUGCAGCUUAACUGUAGAAUUGCCAUUGAUACUGCCAUUCUUGAGUGCGCUUGAAGUGGGCGGAAUGUGCCGUGUAGCGGUGAAAUGCUUAGAUAUGGCACAGAACACCAAUUGCGAAGGCAGCUCACUAAGGCGAUACUGACGCUGAGGCACGAAAGCGUGGGGAUCGAACAGG
rnacentral:rRNA from 1 species